UCAUUGCUUGAAAGUCCCUAUAAUAAAA
rnacentral:piRNA from 1 species